rnacentral:rRNA from 1 species
AGUGUAGGCGGCUACUUAAGUCGGAUGUGAAAUCCCCGGGCUCAACCUGGGAAUUGCAUUCGAUACUGGGUAGCUAGAAUUUGGUAGAGGUAAGUGGAAUUCCGGGUGUAGCGGUGAAAUGCGUAGAUAUCCGGAGGAACAUCAGUGGCGAAGGCGGCUUACUGGACCAAAAUUGACGCUGAGGCUCGAAAGCGUGGGGAGCAAACAGGAUUAGAUACCCUGGUAGUCC